AAUAGAUACCCGGGUAGUCCACGCCGUAAACGAUGAAUGUUAGCCGUCGGCAUGCAUGCAUGUCGGUGGCGCAGCUAACGCAUUAAGCAUUCCGCCUGGGGAGUACGGUCGCAAGAUUAAAACUCAAAGGAAUUGACGGGGGGCCCGCACAAGCGGUGGAGCAUGUGGUUUAAUUCGAAGCAACGCGCAGAACCUUACCAGCCCUUGACAUGUCGGUCGCGGACAAUGGAGACAUUGUCCUUCAGUUAGGCUGGACCGAACACAGGUGCUGCAUGGCUGUCGUCAGCCCGUGUCGUGAGAUGUUGGGUUAAGUCCCGCAACGAGCGCAACCCUCGCCCUUAGUUGCCAGCAUUCAGUUGGGCACUCUAAGGGGACUGCCGGUGAUAAGCCGAGAGGAAGGUGGGGAUGACGUCAAGUCCUCAUGGCCCUUACGGGGCUGGGCUACACACGUGCUACGAAUGGUGGUGACAGUGGGCAGCGAGACAGCGAUGUCGAGCUAAUCUCCAAAAGCCA
rnacentral:rRNA from 1 species